UUUGUUUUAACGUCCACCAAUCGAAAGCAGAAACAUCUUGUAGAGACGCAAAUGAAAAUUAGAGAAGCUGCUGCUGCUGCUGGUGUUCAUACUUCGAAAGAGAAAUUGUCAGAAUCAUAUGAAAUGUUCUGUCAAGCAGCACUUAAAGCGGGAAACAAUCAAAAUGUAACAUGGGGAUUGACCACUCAAAGAAGGAAAUAUGGUGUAAUCGAGUGCAUGGAGAAAAUGCACAAGAUUCAGAAUUGACUGCUGAACAGGAAAUUUGUUGCAUCACGAAGGAUGAUAUUGAUCGUUAGAUUAUAGAAAUAACCGGAAGAUUUCCUCGCUGACGAGAUUUAGAUCCACAAUUUAGAUAUAUAAUAGAUGUGCAAAAUUAUUUGCCGUAGAUUUUGAGGAAAUUUGCAAGAAUAUGUCGACUUAAAACGAAAACAUUUUUAUUGAAGGAUUAGAAUUGUACAAAGAAAUUAAAUUCUCUCCAAUGUUGAAAUCAUAUUCAGAUAAAAACGGAUGCCUCUUCAGAUGUGACUCGCAUGCCGGACAUCUUCCUAUUAAUUAUACGCAUGUCAGCCAUUAUGCCAUUAAUUCUAUGAGCUCUAUAUUAGGAAAAACUUGUUAAAAUUUACCAUUAUUGCACAGUUUUAUGUUUUCUACCAGAAUGGGGUAUUAUCGAUGAAUAUAUUGAUUGGAUAAUUUUGCCUAAAAAUGAUGAAUUGAAAACAGAUAAAUUUGAGAAGAGAUGAACGAUUAGAAAUCGUUGAUAAAAAA